UUUUUUUCUUCUUCCCGUUAGCUAACGUUAGUACUGUACCAAAGAGCAUCAAUAUACUGACUAGAUGUUGAUAGCCUCCUGGUAACGUUAGCUAGAAGCUACCACUGAAGGAUAGCUUGGUACAGUAGUUAGCUAUCCACUACCUUUUCGCGCCCGGGAGUUUUCCAAUUGUAGCGGGGAUGGCAUCAACCAGGUGUGAAGAACUACUAAGUGACAAAGAACCUUUGCAUAUAUCAGCCCCCACCUCUCCUCCCCCAUUUCUAUCCUCACUGCUUCCCUUUCUAAACAAGCCCCCUCCCCCUCUCUGAUCCGCUCCUGGCCUUCCUCGCACCGUUCCCCGUGGGAUGAGUCUUGUGAGGUCACAGCCCGCCUCUACUCCUCGCUGCAACUCACCCGAGAUCUCCAGGCCAAAGGUCAACCAUCACCAGGCCACACUCACAGACAGGUGUCAUUUCAGUUUUCUUCUCCU
ensembl:lncRNA